rnacentral:rRNA from 1 species
GAUGAACGCUGGCGGCGUGCCUAAUACAUGCAAGUCGAGCGAACGGACGAGAAGCUUGCUUCUCUGAUGUUAGCGGCGGACGGGUGAGUAACACGUGGAUAACCUACCUAUAAGACUGGGAUAACUUCGGGAAACCGUAGCUAAUACCGGAUAAUAUUUUGAACCGCAUGGUUCAAAAGUGAAAGACGGUCUUGCUGUCACUUAUAGAUGGAUACGCGCUGCAUUAGCUAGUUGGUAAGGUAACGGCUUACCAAGGCAACGAUGCAUAGCCGACCUGAGAGGGUGAUCGGCCACACUGGAACUGAGACACGGUCCAGACUCCUACGGGAGGCAGCAGUAGGGAAUCUUCCGCAAUGGGCGAAAGCCUGACGGAGCAACGCCGCGUGAGUGAUGAAGGUCUUCGGAUCGUAAAACUCUGUUAUUAGUGAAGAACAUAUGUGUAAGUAACUGUGCACAUCUUGACGGUACCUAAUCAGAAAGCCACGGCUAACUACGUG